CCCUUUUCCCAUGCAUAUGCAUCGGACUCGGAUGAUGAUGGUCCCGAUGAACAAGUUGAUGCGGAGGGGUUCACGGUGAAGGAGGCCGAAGCUUUCGAGAAGGUAUUUGGUCGGGAUCAUCGGACUAUGUUCAAGGAUGUUAGUCUCGCGGAUGAAGUCGUGGUAGAUGGUGGCCAAUGUGUAGCUCUUGGGGGUAGGCCAAGCUCUCAC
rnacentral:rRNA from 1 species